UUAAUAAGGGCAUGUAGAACUGCCACAUUGUUUAAUAAGGGCAUGUAGAACUGCCACAUUGUUUAAUAAGGGCAUGUAGAACUGUUUCAUUGUUUAAUAAGGGCAUGUAGAACUGCCACAUUGUUUAAUAAGGGCAUUUACAACAGCCACAUUGUUUAAUAAGGGCAUGUAGAACUGCCACAUUGUUUAAUAAUGGCAUUUACAACUGUUAAAUUGUUUGAUAAGGGCUAGUGCAACUGUUACAUUAUUUAAUAAGGGCUAGUACAACUGUUACAUUGUUUAAUAAGGGCAUUUACAACUGUUAAAUUGUUUGAUAAGGGCUUUUACAACUGUUACACUGUUUAAUAAGGGCUAGUACAACUGUUGCAUUGUUUAAUAAGUGCUAGUACAACUGUUGCAUUGUUUAAUAAGUGCUAGUACAACUGUUGCAUUGUUUAAUAAGUGCUAGUUCAACUGUUACAGUGUUUAAUAAUGGCAUGUACAACUGUUACAUUGUUUGAUAAGGGCAUAUAGAACUGCUACAUUGUUUAAUAAUGGCAUUUUGAGCUGUUACAUUUUCUAAUAAGGGCAUGUACAGUGUAACAGUAUAAAAAUGUCUAGUAAAAGUUAAAGCAAUGUUUUGUUUGAAGUUGUGUGAUAAAAUUAUGUUACCAUGAAUACAGCGUGUUCAGUCAGUUGAGGUUUAGACGAGAUUUUUUUGUGCACGAAACUGUUUCACUAUAAAACCUAGAAAUAUUUUCCCAUGUCCUUGUAAAAUGUUUGUGGAGAGACAUCUAUUGGGAGGUAAUCUAUUAUCUUAUUAUACCCUGUAUACUGAUAUGAAGUAAUUAAUGUUUUGUUAGAGGCUAGUGUUAUAUAUUAUGGAUUUGGAGCUUAUGUGUCUCGGGAUAUGUGUGCAUUGAUGUACUGUAAAACUGUAACAUUUGUUCAUCAUUUAAAAUAACACAUCAAAUAGACAAAUAUAAAAUACUAAUUAUCAAAUUAGAAUAUUUUCGAUGCCAUUAUAUGUUAAUAUAUUACGUAUUAUACAAAUAUAGUUUUAUACAUUGAUAAGAUAAUUUUUUUUAGUUGACCACAAAAUUUGUAUAAUUCUCCUAACAGAAAGUAAAUAUAAAUUCAUAUUAUUUUAAUUGUACAUUACAAAUUACACAGCUGUCAGUCUUGAAUGAACUAUAUUUUUACAGAAAUGGAACCUCUGGAUUUACAUUCUAGAACUUGUCCUUUGUGCUUGAGGGUAUUUUCUUCUAGUGGAAAUAAAAGUCGACACAUGAGGCUACACCGUCUAGAGAUGAAGUUUCGUUGCAGCAUUUGUACGUUUACAACCACUCGAAGGGAUGCACUCCGUAGUCAUAUAAAAGUUCGCCAUCAAGAUGAAUACAGUGAACAGUUGCAUUAUUGAGGAAGUUUCUGACAGUAUAAAAACACUGCUCAUUUUUUACCAUUGUUUUAUUUAUAUAGUCUGUACAAUGAGUUAAUACAAUUAUAUAGGAACUGGCACUGUAUAACAGUAUGAAUGAUACUUACAUUCUGGUGUUGAUUCUGUUGAAACAGUCUUUUCAGAAGUUUCCUUGUGAAUAAAUAUCUUUUGACCCAUUUUGUUGUAGUUCUUAUUUCUAACAAAACACUUUAACAUUGUUCUAUAUACAUAUAUAUAAGAGUGAACAAUGCCGUACAUUUAAAGAUUAUAAUUUAUCUAAAUAUAUAGCUUAUCAUGCUGUACGUAUCAGGCUUAACAUUGCCAUAUAUUUAAAGCUUAAUGUUGCUGUAUGUAUAAAGUUUACUGUUUGCCUAGAGCUUAACAUGUUGUAUUUAUCAUUCCCAAAGGAAAUGUCAAAUACCUGUUCUUGAAAUGUGCUAGUUUGGAGGUUACUAGUUUAUAGCUUAAUGUUGCUGUAUGCAUAAAGUUUACUGUUUGCCUAGAGCUUAACAUGUUGUAUUUGACAUUUCCUUUGGGAAUGAAUGUCAAAUACCUGUUCUUGAAAUGUGCUAGUUUGGAGGUUACUAGUUUAUAGACAUCGGAACCUGGGAUGCCGUUGCACCCCCACUUUUAUAUAUGCAACUGUAAGUUAUUAUAUUCAUUUUCUGGGGUGCAAACCCUCUAGAUUGAGCUGCUCCUUAUACUUUCAACCUCUCCUUGUAAAAUGUGCAUGUAUAGCCAAGCACCCCCCACUUUGCAACUUCUUCGUACACCACUGUAGAAGGUUAUCUUUUAAGGUUAUUCAAAUACAAAGUUCUCAGUUUUGUGUUCUUUUCUAGCUUGUGAGUGUAUUUGUCUGGCACCAAAAAUGUAGGCUGUCUUCAAAGUAACGUCCAUUGGUUUGGCAGAAAGUUCACGUUGAACAGCCCAGUCCGUACAUACAUAUGAUUUGUCUUUUCUAGGUUAAUGACACUACUUUUGCUGACAUCAUCAGUUCCAGUCUUCAAUGAUGUUUUAAACAUUAAAAACACAACAUUAUAUCUAAUAUCAUUGUGCAACAACAGUUUAGCUUGUUACUCGCUUCCUUAUGGAUACAUCUGUACAAGACAGAGGUAAUGGUUUUUAGUUAAUGGUAACCUUGUUCCAACAGCACAGCUUAUUGGAAUAAGUAGAUACAAAACAAGUAAGUAUAGCUUUAUAAAGUGUAGACAUAUGAACUUUGAUACUUAUUAUAGAAGGGAAAUUUAUCAGUAACAUCAAUUUUAAUAAUAAAGUUUUCUGUUUCUUCAUAUUAAUCAGAAAUUGAAAUUAACAGUGUGUAAAUUUUUUUAUAAAUCUAAUAUAUUUUGCUUUCAGAUUCUUAUCUGAGAGCCAGGGCUUGUGAACUUUUCCAUAAAGGUUUUUUUUAUAAUUCUACAAAUUUUCUUUUCUGAGAACCAGGAUUUGUAAACUUUACCUUAAAGGUUUUUUUUAUAAUUCUACAAUUUUUUUCAGUUCUUUUCUGAGAACCAGGACUUGUAAAUUUUACCUUAAAGUUUUUUUUUUAUAAUUCUACAAUUUUUUUUUUCGUGAGAGCUAGGGCAUGUGAACAUUGCUAUAAAGUUAUUUUUUAAAUCUCUAAAACAUUUUCAGAGAUUGAACUUGUGAACUUUGCCUUAGUGUUUUUUUUUUAUAAAUCAAACAUUUUUUUUAGAUAUAUUUUUGAAAGCUAGGACUUGUAAUUUUGCCACAAAGUGUUUAUAAUAAAUCAACUACACUUUAUUUUCAGAUACUUUUCUGAUAGCUAGAAGUUGCGAUCUGUGCCAUAAUAUUUUUUUAUAAAUGAAAUACAUUUAUUUUCAGAUACUUUUCUGACAGAUAGGACUUGUGAACAUUGCCAAUGAAUGUUUUUUUAAAAUUCGAUCACAUUUUAUUUUCAGAUACUUUUCUGAGAGCUAGGACUUGCGAACUUUGCCAUAAAGUGUUUUCAUCUCAAGGAAACAAAAGCAGGCAUAUGAGACUACAUCGAGGAGAACGGAGAUUUCGCUGCACCUUUUGUAAUUUCACCUCAACUAGGAGGGAUGAACUGCGACACCAUAUUGAAGUUCGUCACAAGCAUGAUUCAAGCUUAGUCGUCCAAUGACUAUACAUUAAAAUUAGACAUUUUCUGAGAAAGGCUUGAUUGUUCUUAGGACAACAUGUCUAUGGCAUCAGUAAUUUAUUUUACCUAAGUUUUGAUGUAACUAAAGAUAAAUGAUAAAUUUUUAUACCAUUUGUAAAAAUGUAUUUUCAAAUUUAAAGUUAUUAGAUUACACUUAUUGUUGAUAGUAAGGAAAUCUUUGACUGACAUUAUUUAGAAUGGAUAGUUAUGUAUGGUGCAAAACUGAUAAGUUUUGCUUGUAAUUGAAAUGAAAAUAUUGUAUUGUGUUUUACUACGAAGUUUAUGUAAAAUAUGUAUGUAGAAUUCAAUACAGAUAGGUGGAAUGUCCUUGUACUCUUUGAAAAGAAAUAAUAAUAAUGUAUAAUUUUUUAUAAAUACAAUAAAAGAUGUUGGCAGUUUAAGGGUCAAUCACCAACUAAGGUCGGUUGGCCAGAACAUUCA
rnacentral:lncRNA from 1 species